AAGCUACAACACCUUCAUGGAAUCUGAGUGCCAACUACAGGCUAGCGAAGCCAUGAGAAAAAAAGCUGGUAAAUUGGUUCGUGGGACUCGGAGGGAAGACUGUAGGGGCCACUACUCGUCGACUGCUGGAAGCUCUAAUGACCCAAAACGUUGUGGUGAAUUUCAGCUGGAAAGGGCAAAAGGGCAAGGCGAAAUUCCAACAACUGCAGUGUGUUGAGCUCAUUUACCAGGCUGUAAAAAGAAACCCCCGUAUCACAACGACACGUCACGACAUUGAAGAGGUAAUCAAGACGUGGCUACGACACGCGGCGGAGAAGCUCAGGAAGCUUGAGGAAUCUGGUCUUGGCAACAUCCCCUAACUUUUUAUUAGCAUCUAUAUCCAUGUAUAGUGUGCAUCUUCUUUAAUUCAUGCUUAUUUUUUUCUUUUCAAGCCCAUCUUCAGGUAAUACUUGUUUGACCCGCAGCCACAAUUACACCACAGAACAAGUUUUGUUAGUUUGUCAUUAUCAUUUCCAGUUAUUUUAGUGUUCAAAUUCUAGUAUCUUUAUCUAAUAUUUUUUUCUCAUUAUUUAUAAUGAAUGCCUCUUGUCUGCAGCUAAAUGAGAACUUGUUAGAC